UACAGGUCACCAUGAGUCAAACCAGGUGUAAGGUCCUAUGAGGAGUGGAGACUGACCAACCAGAGGAACACAAAUAAGGGUGAUAGUUGCCGCUUCAUUCCAGCCGAUGGUCACAUGGGAAAUGAAUUGCACUGUUGCCAGACUUUAGUCCAAAAUUUAUUUAAAUGCCAAGUUUUGGGUUUUUGGUUUUUUUUUUUUUUACUUUUAAUGCUGUUAGUUUUUUUUGAAAGACCUCCAAAAACUGCUAUGAGCCAAACAAAAACAUUCUGUGGCUCUGAUGUGACCAGCGGUGGUCACCUUUUCACUGCUGCCAGCUGUUAGGUACUGGGGAAGGCUAAGUGACAUGGGCUAAAAUUGUCCCUCUCAGUUUUUUUUAUGUCUAUGAGAGUGACUUCUAGGUUCUAUAGAAACAAUUACUCAGAAGUUACUUUGUCUUUAAAACCAUUCAAGAUGUCAAAGUUCCAAAUUCAAGGUCUUAGUUCUUUUCAAAGCUUUUAAAUUUAGGUUGCAAAUCUUAAUUGCUCAUAACAAAGAAGUUUAAUAUUUGAUCUGAAUUACAUUUAAACUCCUUUAAGUAACUUCACAUCUAAAAGGUUUAUAUAAUUGAUUUCCUCAAGUAUUUCAUUUAUCAGACCAAAUCAAACUUCCCCAGCUACUUAUUACUAUUCCUAACAAAUUAAGUUUAUAAGUAUAGCAAACCUUGCCAUUUUAUUUUUGUUUGGUUGGUUUUUUAGCUGUAUUUUUUUUCCUUUUUAGCAUUGGCCAUAGAACCCAGGAUGUUGCACCAAGUGCUUUGCCACUGAGUUACAUCCUAACCCUAAUAUUGCCAUUUUAAAUGUUCCAAAACUACAUUAAAAACUUCGUGGGAUUUUAACUUAAAAAAAAACUGUUUAAAAUAGCACAUAUUCUUCCACAUGUCAAGGAUUUCAAACACAAAACUCCAAUAGCCAGGCAUGGUAGCACAUGCUUGUAAUCUCAGCACUCUAGAGGCUGUGUGUUAGGAGGAUCAAGAGUUUGAGGCUAGCUUGGGCUACAGUGACAGUC